AACAACCACUUUUUAUACGACCGCAAAAUUUGAAAAAUUUUUCGUCGUAUAUUGCUAUCACGUUGGCGUCGGCGUCGUCGUCGUCGUCGUCGUCCUGCGUCCGAAUACUUUUAGUUUUCGCACUCUAACUUUAGUAAAAGUGAAUGGAAAUCUAUGAAAUUUUAACACAAGGUUUAUGACCACAAAAGGAAGGUUGGUAUUGAUUUUGGGAGUUUUGGUCCCAACAUUUAGGAAUUAGGGCCAAAAAGGGCCCAAAUAAGCAUUUUCUUGGUUUUCGCACUAUAACUUUAGUUUAAGUUAAUAGAAAUCUAUGAAAUUUUGACACAAGGUUUAUGACCACAAAAGAACAGUUGGGAUUGAUUUUGGGAGUUUUGGUUUCAACAGUUUAGGAAUUAGGGGCCAAAAAAGGGCCCAAAUAAGCAUUAUUCUUGGUUUUCGCACAAUAACUUUAGUUUAAGUAAAUAGAAAUCAAUGAAAUUUAAACACAAUGUUAAUGACUACAAAAGGAAGGUUGGUUUUGAUUUUGGGAGUUUAGGUCCCAACAGUUUAGGAAUUAGGGGCCAAAAAGGGACCCAAAUAAGCAUUUUUCUUGGUUUUCGCACCAUAACGUUAGUAUAAGUAAAUAGAAAUCUAUGAAAUUUAAACACAAGGUUUAUGACCAUAAAAGGAAGGUUGUAUUGAUUUUGGGAGUUUUGGUCCCAACAGAAUAAGGGGCCCAAAGGGUCCAAAAUUAAACUUUGUUUGAUUUCAUCAAAAUUGAAUAAUUGGGGUUCUUUGAUAUGCCGAAUCUAACUGUCAUGACUGUGUAUGUAGAUUCUUAACCUUUGGUCCCCUUUUCAAAUUGGUCUACAUUAAGGUCCAAAGGGUCCAAAAUUAAACUUAGUUUGAUUUUGACAAAAAAUGAAUCAGUUAGGUU
rnacentral:lncRNA from 1 species